UUCCGGUUGAUCCUGCCGGACCCCACUGCUAUCGGGAUAGGACUAAGACAUGCUAGUCAAGCGUGCCGAGUGCGGCGCACAGCUCAGUAACACGUGGCUAACCUGCCCUUGGGAUAGGGACAACCCCGGGAAACUGGGGCUAAUCCCCAAUAGGUGAAGUGCUCUGGAAUGAGCCUUCGCCCAAAGCUCGCACGCCCGAGGAUGGGGCCGCGACCGAUCAGGUUGUUGGUGAGGUAAUGGCUCACCAAGCCUUUAACCGGUACGGGCCGUGAGAGCGGUAGCCCGGAGAUGGGCACUGAGACAAGGGCCCAGGCCCUACGGGGCGCAGCAGGGGCGAAACCUCCACAAUGCACGAAAGCGUGACGGGGCUACCCCGAGUGCCGUCCGCUGAGGACGGCUUUUCCACGGUGUAAGGAGCCGUGGGAAUAAGGAGAGGGCAAGACUGGUGUCAGCCGCCGCGGUAAAACCAGCUCUUCAAGUGGUCGGGAUAAUUAUUGGGCUUAAAGUGUCCGUAGCCGGUUUAGUAAGUUCCUGGUAAAAUCGGGUAGCUUAACUAUCUGUAUGCUAGGAAUACUGCUAUACUAGAGGGCGGGAGAGGUCUGAGGUACUACAGGGGUAGGGGUGAAAUCUUAUAAUCCCUGUAGGACCACCAGUGGCGAAGGCGUCAGACUGGAACGCGCCUGACGGUGAGGGACGAAAGCCAGGGGAGCGAACCGGAUUAGAUACCCGGGUAGUCCUGGCCGUAAACGAUGCAUACUAGGUGAUGGCACGGCCAUGAGCCGUGACAGUGCCGUAGGGAAACCGUUAAGUGUGCCGCCUGGGAAGUACGGUCGCAAGGCUAAAACUUAAAGGAAUUGGCGGGGGAGCACCACAAGGGGUGAAGCCUGCGGUUCAAUUGGAGUCAACGCCGGA
rnacentral:rRNA from 1 species